UCUAGACUCCCUUCCUGAGCUCCACAGCGCCCUGCUGCUGUCAGCGCUGAGUUCACACACACCUGUCUGGAGGACCAUGCUGUCACACUGUUUGCUGGUGCUGCUGCUGCUGCUGCUGAGGAGUUUCUUAGCGCAGACUGUAAUUGAGCAGAGCCCACGCUACAUUGCCAAGUUACCAGAAGAGAAAGCCGAGAUGAGCUGUACUCUCAGUGGGACCUCCAGUCCCUAUCUCUACUGGUACAGACAGCAUGGCAGUGGAGAGAUGGAGUUCCUCUUUUUCUCCAGGGGCAAGGGGAUGUUUGAUGAUUCUCCGGUGAAAGACUUUAUACCAGAGAGAAAAGAAGACCUUUUCCUCAGCCUGCGCACAGAUAGCCUGAGAGUGAACCACACUGCAGUGUAUUACUGUGCCUGGAGUAGACACAGUGACUGAGGCACACAGGGCCCCUGAAC